rnacentral:lncRNA from 11 species
AAGUCCUAAGUCAAGAGGUGACGUGAAGACAAAUACACACACCAUCUCAACUCUUUGCUGGCAGAAGAAAUGAGUGAAUAUUAUUAGUUUUAAACAAUCCGGGGAUUUUUUGUUUGGCAAAUAUUUGCACAGUAUACUGCAAGCUUCAGCGGAUUCUUCUAGUACACAAGCUAUAGAUUGAACUUAUCAAGUGCUGUGCAGAAGACUAAAUGUGGAUGAGUUUGUUCUAUCAGUGUACCUUUCUUAUUACUGGAUCUGGAAUCAAUAAAUGAGUGAUUUAU